GAUGAACGCUGGCGGCGUGCCUAAUACAUGCAAGUCGAGCGAACGGACGAGGAGCUUGCUUCUCUGAUGUUAACGGCGGACGGGUGAGUAACACGUGGAUAACCUACCUAUAAGACUGGGAUAACUUCGGGAAACCGGAGCUAAUACCGGAUAAUAUUUUGAACCGCAUGGUUCAAAAGUAAAAGACGGUCUUGCUGUCACUUAUAGAUGGAUCCGCGCUGCAUUAGCUAGUUGGUAAGGUAACGGCUUACCAAGGCAACGAUGCAUAGCCGACCUGAGAGGGUGAUCGGCCACACUGGAACUGAGACACGGUCCAGACUCCUACGGGAGGCAGCAGUAGGGAAUCUUCCGCAAUGGGCGAAAGCCUGACGGAGCAACGCCGCGUGAGUGAUGAAGGUCUUCGGAUCGUAAAACUCUGUUAUUAGGGAAGAACAUAUGUGUAAGUAACUGUGCACAUCUUGACGGUACCUAAUCAGAAAGCCACGGCUAACUACGUG
rnacentral:rRNA from 1 species